GAGCUUAGCCGAAAAAAUACGGAAAAUCGCCAGAAGCAAAAGGCGAGGCAUAUAGCUGGUUCAAAAUCGUACUCGCAGAUUAGCUAUGAGAAGAGGGACGAGGAGACUGGGAAGGAACCAACUAUUCUACAACUUUGGCAGAUCCCUCAUACCCGCAAUGGAUCAUGGUCUAAUGAAGAAUCACAGACUGUUUAUGACAAUGCACGCAGCCAGAUUAGGGAGAAAGAAGGAGAGAUUGGUGGUCCAAUUUCAAGUGAAGAGCAAAACAAUAUUUUCCAGAAUAGCUGCAGAUCUACUAUGGAAAGUACAUCAUUGAAGCCUCGUGGCCGAGGAUACAUGGCUAAGCCGCCUAGCGGUUCUGAAAGACUACAUUCUGAAAUCCAGAGGCAAAAUGCUGAGCUAACCCUCGAGGUUCAUGACUUAAGGAGGCAAAUUGUUGAACAACAGGCAGAGAGGCAAAGAGAACGAGAAGAAGAGCGAGUUGCCAGGGAAAAGCAGCUUGAGGAG
rnacentral:rRNA from 1 species